rnacentral:tRNA from 1 species
GUGGCUAUAGCUCAGUUGGUUAGAGCGCUGGAUUGUGGUUCCAGAGGUCGCCGGUUCAAAUCCGGUUAGCCACCCA